CAGCAGCCGCGGUAAUACGUAGGGUGCAAGCGUUAAUCGGAAUUACUGGGCGUAAAGCGUGCGUAGGCGGCUUCUUAAGUCGGAUGUGAAAUCCCUGAGCUUAACUUAGGAAUUGCAUUCGAUACUGGGAAGCUAGAGUAUGGGAGAGGAUGGUAGAAUUCCAGGUGUAGCGGUGAAAUGCGUAGAGAUCUGGAGGAAUACCGAUGGCGAAGGCAGCCAUCUGGCCUAAUACUGACGCUGAGGUACGAAAGCAUGGGGAGCAAACAGGAUUAGAUACCCCGGUAGUCCCUGUCUCUUAUAC
rnacentral:rRNA from 1 species